GUUAUCACAGCGUUAUAUCAGUCCAUACACACUGAUGUUGGUGUUAUCACGGUGUUAUAUCAAUGGGCACAGACUGACAUUGGUGUUAUCACAGCGUUAUAUCAGUCCAUACACACUGAUGUUGGUGUUAUGAUGGUGUUAUAUCAAUGGGCACAGACUGACAUUGGUGUUAUCACAGCAUUAUAGCAGUCCAUACACACUGAUGUUGGUGUUAUGAUGUUAUAUCAGUGGGUACAGACUGACAUUGGUGUUAUCACACUGUUAUGUCAGUCCAUACACACCAAUGCUGGUCUCUGUGCUAUCAGUCUGUACACACCGAUGUGGGUCUCUGUGCAGUCAGUCCAUACAGACCACUGUUGAUCUCUGUGCUGUCAGUCCAUACAGACCGACGUUGCUGUCUCUGUGCUGUCAGUCCAUACAGGCCGAAGUGGGUCCCUGUGCAGUCAGUCCAUACACUCCAAUGUUGGUGUUAUGCUGUUAUGUCAGUCCAUACAGAGCAAUGUUGAUCUCUGUGCUAUCAGUCCAUACAGACCAAUGUUGGUCUCUCUGCAGUCAGUCCAUACAGACCGAUGUGGGUCUCUGUGCAGUCAGUCCAU
rnacentral:lncRNA from 7 species